rnacentral:rRNA from 1 species
GACGAACGCUGGCGGCGUGCUUAACACAUGCAAGUCGAACGGUGAAGCGCCUUCCUUUUUGGUGGGUGUGGAUGAGUGGCGAACGGGUGAGUAACACGUGAGUAACCUGCCCCCUUCUUCUGGAUAACCGCAUGAAAGUGUGGCUAAUACGGGAUAUUCUGGGUCUGUCGCAUGAUGGGUCUGGGAAAGAUAUUGUUUCGGUGGGGGAUGGGCUCGCGGCCUAUCAGCUUGUUGGUGGGGUGAUGGCCUACCAAGGCGGUGACGGGUAGCCGGCCUGAGAGGGUGGACGGUCACACUGGGACUGAGACACGGCCCAGACUCCUAAGGGAGGCAGCAGUGGGGAAUAGUGCACAAUGGGCGCAAGCCUGAUGCAGCGACGCCGCGUGAGGGAUGGAGGCCUUCGGGUUGUGAACCUCUUUCGCCAGUGAAGCAGGCCUGCCUCGUUUGUGGGUGGGUUGACGGUAGCUGGAUAAGAAGCGCCGGCUAACUACGUG